UACGUAGGUGGCAAGCGUUGUCCGGAUUUAUUGGGCGUAAAGGGUGUGUAGGCGGCUGGGUAGGUCCGCUGUGAAAACUUGAGGCUCAACCUCAAGAGGUCGGUGGAAACCAUCUAGCUAGAGUCCGGGAGAGGAGAAUGGAAUUCCUGGUGUAGCGGUGAAAUGCGCAGAUAUCAGGAAGAACACCCGUGGCGAAGGCGGUUCUCUGGGCAAUUCCUGACGCUGAGGCGCGAAAGCGUGGGGAGCAAACGGG
rnacentral:rRNA from 1 species